UACGUAGGGGGCUAGCGUUGUCCGGAAUCAUUGGGCGUAAAGAGCGUGUAGGCGGUCCGGUAAGUCCGCUGUGAAAGUCGGGGGCUCAACCCUCGAAUGCCGGUGGAUACUGUCGGGCUAGAGUGCGGAAGAGGCGAGUGGAAUUCCUGGUGUAGCGGUGAAAUGCGUAGAGAUCAGGAAGAACAUCGGUGGCGAAGGCGCUCCGCUGGACCAUAACUGACACUCAGGGACGAAAGCUAGGGGAGCGAAUGGG
rnacentral:rRNA from 1 species